rnacentral:rRNA from 1 species
GAUGAACGCUGGCGGCGUGCCUAAUACAUGCAAGUCGAGCGAACGGACGGGAAGAUGGUUUCUCUGAUGUUAGCGGCGGAAGGGAGAGUAAAAAGUGGAUAACCUACCUAUAAGACUGGGAUAAAUACGGGAAACCGUAGCUAAUACCGGAUAAUAUAAUGAACGGCAUGGUCCAAAAGUGAAAGACGGUCUUGCUGUCACAGAUAGAUGGAUACGCGCUGCAUUAGCUAGUUGGUAAGGUAACGGCUUACCAAGGCAACGAUGCAUAGCUGACCUGAGCGGUUGAUCGGCCACGCUGCGACUGAGACACGGUCCAGACUCCUACGGAGAGCAGCAGUAGGGACUUUUGCGCGAUGGGAGAAAGCCUGUCGGAGCAACGCCGCGUGGGUGAUGAAGGUAUUCGGAUCGUAAAACUCUGUUAUUAGGGAAGAACAUAUUUGUAAGCAACUGUGCACGCCUUGACGGUACCUGAUCAGAAAGCAACGGCUAACUACGUG